rnacentral:tRNA from 1 species
GUUUCUGUGGCGCAAUUGGUUAGCGCGUUCGGCUGUAAACCGAAAGGUUGGUGGUUCAACCCCACCCAAGGACG